rnacentral:rRNA from 1 species
GACGAACGCUGGCGGCGUGCCUAAUACAUGCAAGUCGAGCGGAAGUUGGAGAGCUUGCUCUUCAACUUUAGCGGCGGACGGGUGAGUAACACGUGGGCAACCUGCCCUGCAGAUCGGGAUAACUCCGGGAAACCGGUGCUAAUACCGAAUAGUUUUCGCCACCUCCUGGUGGCGUACGGAAAGACGGUUUCGGCUGUCACUGCAGGAUGGGCCCGCGGCGCAUUAGCUAGCUGGUGGGGUAAGGGCCCACCAAGGCAACGAUGCGUAGCGGACCUGAGAGGGUGAUCGGCCACACUGGGACUGAGACACGGCCCAGACUCCUACGGGAGGCAGCAGUAGGGAAUCUUCCGCAAUGGACGAAAGUCUGACGGAGCAACGCCGCGUGAGUGACGAAGGUUUUCGGAUCGUAAAACUCUGUUGUGAGGGAAGAACAAGUACCAACUAACUACUGGUACCUUGACGGUACCUCACCAGAAAGCCACGGCUAACUACGUGCCAGCCGCCGCCGUAAUAC